rfam:Ovis aries breed Texel chromosome 3, whole genome shotgun sequence.
UUCCCUGUGGCUCAGCUGGUAAAGAAUCUGCCUGAUAUGCAGGAGACCUAGGUUCAAUCCCUGGGAUGGGAA